AGCAUAUCAAGUAUUAGAGGCAUUGCCUGCCCAGUGACUUAAGUUUAACGGCCGCGGUAUCCUGACCGUGCAAAGGUAGCAUAAUCACUUGUUCCCUAAUUAGGGACUAGUAUGAACGGCUAAACGAGGGCUCAACUGUCUCUUAUUUCUAAUCAGUGAAAUUGACCUUUCAGUGAAGAGGCUGAAAUAACAUAAUAAGACGAGAAGACCCUAUGGAGCUUUAAUUAGAUAGUUUAAUCACUAUAAAAUUUUUCCUAAUGGAACAACCAAAAAUGAUCUAAACUUAUAAUUUCGGUUGGGGUGACCUCGGAGAAUAACAAAUCCUCCGAAUGAUUAUAACUUAGACUUACAAGUCAAAGUAAUAAACCAUAUCUUAUUGACCCAAAUUAUUUUGAGCAACGGACCAAGUUACCCUAGGGAUAACAGCGCAAUCCUAUUUAAGAGUUCAUAUCGACAAUUAGGGU
rnacentral:rRNA from 1 species